rnacentral:rRNA from 1 species
UACGGAGGAUGCAAGCGUUAUCCGGAAUGAUUGGGCGUAAAGCGUCCGCAGGUGGCAAUGUAAGUCUGCUGUCAAAGCGUCUGGCUCAACCAGAUAAAGGCAGUGGAAACUACAUAGCUAGAGUAAGGUAGGGGUAGAGGGAAUUCCUGGUGUAGCGGUGAAAUGCGUAGAGAUCAGGAAGAACACCGGUGGCGAAAGCGCUCUGCUAGGCCGCAACUGACACUCAUGGACGAAAGCUAGGGGAGCGAAUGGG